GACGAACGCUGGCGGCGUGCUUAACACAUGCAAGUCGAGCGGUAAGGCCCUUUCGGGGUACGACGAGCGGCGAACGGGUGAGUAACACGUGGGUGACCUGCCCUCAGCUCUGGGAUAAGCCUGGGAAACCGGGUCUAAUACUGGAUAUGACUCCAUGACGCAUGUUGUGGGGUGGAAAGCCUUGUGCGGCUGAGGAUGGGCCCGCGGCCUAUCAGCUUGUUGGUGGGGUGANGGCCUACCAAGGCGACGACGGGUAGCCGGCCUGAGAGGGCGACCGGCCACACUGGGACUGAGACACGGCCCAGACUCCUACGGGAGGCAGCAGUGGGGAAGUCUUGCGCAAUGGGCGAAAGCCUGACGCAGCGACGCCGCGUGAGGGAUGACGGCCUCGGUU
rnacentral:rRNA from 1 species